AUUGAACGCUGGCGGCAGGCCUAACCCAUGCAAGUCGAGCGGAGCGGCGGACGGGUGAGUAAUGCCUAGGAAUCUGCCUGGUAGUGGGGGAUAACGUCCGGAAAAGGGCGCUAAUACCGCAUACUAUCAGAUGAGCCUAGGUCGGCUUAGCUAGUUGGUGGGGUAAAGGCCUACCAAGGCGACGAUCCGUAACUGGUCUGAGAGGAUGAUCAGUCACACUGGAACUGAGACAAGGGCCAGAAUCGUACGGGAGGAAGCAGUGGGGAAUAUGGGACAAUGGGCGAAAGCCUGAUCCAGCCAUGCCGCGGUGGUGAAGAAGGUAUUCGGAUUGUAAAGCACUUGAAGUUGGGAGGCGUGACCAACAGAAUAAGCACCGGCUAACUUCGUGCCAGCAGCCGCGGUAAUUC
rnacentral:rRNA from 1 species